UCGAAAGACUAAAAAUCCUUCUUUCAACUCGACUCUACAAUUGAUCGUCGAUUGAGGAGGAAGAAACCCGAUUGAAGCAAUGCCACUUCAGGAUCCUGAGUUUAACGAUUUUCCUCCACCUUCGUACGGUUGAAAAGGAGAUAGGUGACAAGGACACUUUGACUAAAAAUGAUGCGUUUGAGGGAGACAAAUCUAUAGGGAUGCAAGAACAAAUUUCAACUGAUGAGAUGAGUAAACCUGAUGCAUUUGAGGAGAACAAGUCUAUGGCAUGAAAGAACAACAACUUUCAAGUACUGCAGGCCAUCAUACAAGCCAAUAAACUGUAGUUUUAGUAAUACCCAAACCAUUCAAGCCACCCCGAUAUAAAUAAAAAGUUGCACACAAGCAACAAUGGAAGCCAUCAUACAAGUCUUCCGCAUCCCAGCAAUAAGAUGCAGCUCAAAGCUCUAGGCCUCCUCCGCCAACUCAUCUGCAGCCACCAGUCCCAAAAGUUAAUAUUAGAGCCCCACCACGAUGGAGAGGGAGACAUGAGGUAUUUCCAAAAUAACCUUUACAACCAGAGACCAAAUCUCUUCUGUCAACCUGCACAUUUUUUGAGAAGGAUGACAAGAAGUAUGUUACAUUAUUACGAUUGAACAAUAUGUUAUUACAAUCGAAGGACAACGGAGACAAGGGCAAGAAGAAAGAUGGGAGGAAUUCACCUUUUGUUUAAAAACUUUUCAAUAUUGAUUGAAACAUUUUUUGUUUAUAAUCUCAACAUACUUGAGAAACUUGAGAAAUUGGUUGUUAUUGCAUAUCUUAUG